rnacentral:rRNA from 1 species
UACGAAGGGGGCUAGCGUUGCUCGGAAUCACUGGGCGUAAAGCGCACGUAGGCGGAUCUUUAAGUCAGGGGUGAAAUCCUGGAGCUCAACUCCAGAACUGCCUUUGAUACUGGGGAUCUCGAGUCCGGAAGAGGUGAGUGGAACUCCGAGUGUAGAGGUGAAAUUCGUAGAUAUUCGGAAGAACACCAGUGGCGAAGGCGGCUCACUGGUCCGGUACUGACGCUGAGGUGCGAAAAGCGUGGGGAGCAAACAGG